rnacentral:RNase_P_RNA from 1 species
CAGGUCAGCCUGGUGAUUGCGCCCUGUUCGCAGGGCGAGGAAAGUCCGCACUCCUUAAAGCACGAUGCCGGAUAACGUCCGGGGCGGAGAGAUCUGCCGGAUCGGGCCACAGAAACAUACCGCUCCUCCGGGAGUAAGGGUGAAAUGGUGGUGUAAGAGACCACCGGCGCGGACAGUAAUGUCCGCGGCCGGGCAACCCCCAUCGGGAGCAAGGCCAAACAGGGAUGAACUCCUUCGGGAGGGGAGGCUGCUCGUCUCCCUUGAAUUCCAGGUAGGCUGCACCGAGGAGUACCGAGAGGUGCUCCCCAGACAGAUAAUCACCUCAGUGAAAGAAAGGGAAGAAGCCCCCCGGGGUGUAAACCGGAACCUUCACCAGACAGAAUGCGGCUUAUCAGCUGGCCUGGGGA